UACGUAGGGUGCGAGCGUUGUCCGGAAUUAUUGGGCGUAAAGAGCUCGUAGGCGGUGUGUCACGUCGGCCGUGAAAACCUGCAGCUUAACUGUGGGCGUGCGGUCGAUACGGGCAUCACUGGAGUUCGGCAGGGGAGACUGGAAUUCCUGGUGUAACGGUGAAAUGCGCAGAUAUCAGGAGGAACACCGGUGGCGAAGGCGGGUCUCUGGGCCGAUACUGACGCUGAGGAGCGAAAGCGUGGGGAGCAAACAGG
rnacentral:rRNA from 1 species